UUUCCAGUCAGCUCUUGGCUAUAUUCCAGGUCUUAUUUGCCCCUAUAUAUAACCAAAGCCUGACUGUACA
rfam:Cricetulus griseus cell line CHO-K1, whole genome shotgun sequence.